GCGGGUGUGGCGGAAUUGGCAGACGCACCAGACUUAGGAUCUGGCGCCUUUGGCGUGGGGGUUCGAUUCCCUUCACCCGCA
rnacentral:tRNA from 1 species